UACCAGCACCCCGAGUGGUCGGGACGUUUAUUGGGCCUAAAGCAUCCGUAGCCGGUUCUGCAAGUCUUCCGUUAAAUCCACCUGCUUAACAGAUGGGCCGCGGAAGAUACUAUAGAGCUAGGAGGCGGGAGAGGCAAGCGGUACUCGAUGGGUAGGGGUAAAAUACCGUUGAUCCAUUGAAGACCACCAGUGGCGAAGGCGGCUUGCCAGAACGCGCUCGACGGUGAGGGAUGAAAGCUGGGGGAGCAAACCGG
rnacentral:rRNA from 1 species